AAGAAGUUCAUUGAUUAGUAUUAAACUAUUAUUAAUUUCAUUUCAUUUCCCAAUUAUGCUGUUCCUCAUAGCUUCCCUGUAUGUGCAUAGUAUCUAGCACGUUUCCAUUGUAUGUUUUGUGAUGCAAGUAUAAUCAUCAGGUAUAUUUCAUUAUCUUCAGGUGCAUUGAAACUGAAGCGAAGGACACAUCGGGGACUUCCUUUAUUCCCCUUCAAGAGAUUGCUAAAUCCAACUGCCUUUAAGAGGAAAGUUAAAAAAAGCAAGAGCAGAACUUAGCUGAACUAGAUACACUGUCCGUUCUUUUGGUAUCAGAAGAAAUGAAAAGAUUGCACGCUGUCACUGUUAGAGGUGACAAGGCAGUGCAGCUUCUGGACAGUGGAUUGAAGGUGAAGGAUGAAUAUUUGC